AGCGAACGCUGGCGGCAGGCCUAACACACGCAAGUCGAACGAACCCUUCGGGGUUAGUGGCGGACGGGUGAGUAACACGUGGGAACGUGCCUUUAGGUUCGGAAUAACUCAGGGAAACAUGUGCUAAUACCGAAUGUGCCCUUCGGGGGAACGAUUUCUCGCCUUUAGAGCGUCCGGGGUCUGAUUAGCUAGUUGGUGAGGUAAUGGCUCACCAAGGCUACGAUCAGUAGCGGGUCUGAGCGGAGGACCAGCCACAUUGGGGCUGAGACACGGCCCAAACUCCGACGGUAGGCAGCAGUGGGGAGUCUUGCGCAAUGGGCGAAAGCUUGACGCAGCCAUGCCGCGUGGAUGAUGAAGGUCUUAGGAUUGUAAAAUCCUUUCACCGGUGAAGAUAAUGACUGUAGCCGGAGAAGAAGCCCCGGCUAACUUCGUGCCAGCAGCCGCCGUAACAC
rnacentral:rRNA from 1 species